rnacentral:rRNA from 1 species
GUGCCAGCAGCCGCGGUAAUACCUGCAGCCCGAGUGAUGACCGAUCUUAUUGGGCCUAAAGCGUCCGUAGCUGGCCUCGCAAGUCCGUCGGUAAAUCCAGUAGCUCAACUACUGGGCGUCCGGCGGAAACUACAAGGCUUGGGACCGGAAGGCUCGAGGGGUACGUCCGGGGUAGGAGUGAAAUCCCGUAAUCCCGAACGGACCACCGAUGGCGAAAGCACCUCGAGAAGACGGCUCCGACAGUGAGGGACGAAAGCUAGGGUCUCGAACCGGAUUAGAAACCCGAGUAGUCC